AUCCCAUUUAUUUACCCGGAAAUUCAUUUCCCUCCUCCCAAAAUCAAUCUAAAUUUUCAUUUCCCUACCCAAAAAUUCAUUUCCCUCCUACCGAAAUCAAUAUGAAUUUUUAUUUCCCUCCUACAAGAUUCAUUUCCCCCAAUCAAUUCAAAUGAAAGACCCAAGCUUCCUUUUACAUACUCAACCUUUGAACCACAACCCUAAUCCCUAACAAUCAAGGAUGACGAUGGUGGUUAUGACAGUGGUUCUGGUUGUAAUGUUACAGUGACUAAUGUUUAGAUCGAAGGUGAUGGUGUCGUGAAGGAGGGUGUGCGGGAGAGGUGAUUGUUGAAGGUGGGUAGGAGCUGUGGAGGUUUUCGUCAACUUCCUCUAUUUCAUUCGCAUCCUACCAACGAGACAAAGAAGCAAAAAGGCAGAAAAUAUGGAGAAGCGUAUGCAGACCGAGUGUAAGGAGUUUAAUGUUGCAAUUAUUAAGGAGAAAAAUGGAUUCGCCUUCGCCUGGGACAAGGGGCUUCUAAAGAGCUGACCAUUGCAAGUGUACUAAAAAGGCCAAGAAUCGAUGGCAGUUGGUUUGUUGGAAUGAGAACUCGGCAUCACAAGCUUACCUGUAGAUGUGAAGUUACCGCCAUUCUUGUUCUAUAUGUCUUCCGAGGUUGUCGCUAACUGGAUCCAUUCUUGCUCAUGAGCUGAUGCAUGGUUGGUUAUGUUAUAACGUGAAAGUGAAAAUCAUGCAUAAAAUAGAAUCGGAAAUGAAGUUGAAAGCUUUGAGGUGAAUUUAAGCAAGACGUCUUGUAGUUCUAGUGAAUGCAGGCACACUUACUUUGAGCUGCUGAAGUUAAAAAGCCAUUGAGUGGAUAAUGUCGUAUCUUGAUGGUCACUAUGUUGGACUGAAUCAAACCACAACAGCACCGGUUCCAACAAAGUUGUUGCAGGAUAUUCGUCCAAAGGCGAACAAGUUGCCGGUAGGACCAUGCGUGGUGAGAAAUCUGGAUUUUCCAAGAUGCACUUACGAUGAAAAAUUACCAAUCACAAAGAACUUUAACGCAAUAGGAAGUUGAUCAAAAAUGUUAAAGGCAUGCCAUGCUUUAAAAUAGUUUUAGUUUAUGUGUAUUGUCAUUUCUUUUUUCAACUUUUGUAGAUAGAUUUUAUCAGAGGUUUUUUAUUAGUCUUAAGUUGAAAACUUAUGUAUGAAUUUUGUUUUAUUAUUGUUAAUAUCAUUUGGUUUUAGGUU